CUUGUUUUUGUUUCUUAAUUUUAGGUCUGAAAGCUAAUAACAUUGACUACACAGUUCAUUCAGUCAGAAGAGCUCUAGAAAACACUGCAGUGAAGGCUGACAAUAUAGAAGUAUUUGCUCAAGGACAUGGUAUUAUUCAGGUAUUGUUGCCUAUAUGAAAAAUGGGUUGUAAAGCAUCAUUGAGAUAAUAUCUUAGAUAUUAUUGGGUAAUAUUUUGUUUUAUAACAGUGAUUCAGUAUAUCUGAAUUAUGGAUUAUAUGGCCAUAGAACUACAAGCAAAAAGGAUACACAAACAAAUUUUGUAGUUAAGACAAAUCUGUUGCACUAAGAUCAAGAAAUGUAAUAGAUGGAGGCCAUGUAGAGGUUAGAAAUUCAAAGAAAUCGAGGUCAAAAACUGGCCAAUCAUAACGGCAUAGGGAUUAGUUCCUAAAUUUGGUCACUUGAGAAUAACAGUGUGAAUAGAGUGGAGUGGAAGAUGUGACUGGUGUUGUUUCUAAAAAUGUAGAAUUGUCCUCUUAGUUGGGGUACUAGGUAGUUUUGAGAGGUGAAUAUAGACACUAACUUUUUGUUUUACAACUGAAAUCAAAUUGAUUGGUAAUUUGCAACAAAAUAUUUUUUGACCCAACCAUUUAUAUCUUACCAUGUAUAUUAUUUUCACUAGGUUGAUAAAGCCUAUGACUACCUCGUUCAGAAUACAUCAUUUGCUAAUAAAUUAGGUUUUACUGUUACUGUUGGAAAUAACCGUGGCAUCUACCUCCGAGAUCCUGUUCAGGUGGCUGCACCUUCAGAUCAUGGCGUUGGCAUUGAACCUGUAUUUCCGGAGAACACAGGUAUAAGACAGAGCUUUCUGUUGAAGAAUGAAAAGUAGAAGCAGUCUAGGAGAACUGCAGCUCGA
rnacentral:lncRNA from 1 species